rnacentral:rRNA from 1 species
UACGUAGGGGGCGAGCGUUGUCCGGAGUUACUGGGCGUAAAGCGCUUGUAGGCGGUCCACCAAGUUUGGGGUGACAGUUGCCGACUUAAUCGGGAAAGUGCCUCAAAGACUGGCGGACUUGAGGGCCACAGAGGGACAUGGAACUCCAGGUGUAGUGGUGAAAUGCGUAGAUAUCUGGAAGAACACCAAAGGCGAAGGCAGUGUCCUGGGUGGUCGCUGACGCUGAGAGGCGAAAGCCAGGGGAGCGAACGGG